rnacentral:rRNA from 1 species
UACGAAGGGUGCAAACGUUGCUCGGAAUUACUGGGCGUAAAGCGUGCGCAGGCGGCUUUGCAAGACAGAUGUGAAAUCCCCGGGCUCAACCUGGGAACUGCAUUUGUGACUGCAAGGCUAGAGUACGGUAGAGGGGGAUGGAAUUCCGCGUGUAGCAGUGAAAUGCGUAGAUAUGCGGAGGAACACCGAUGGCGAAGGCAAUCCCCUGGACCUGUACUGACGCUCAUGCACGAAAGCGUGGGGAGCAAACAGG